rnacentral:rRNA from 1 species
AAGGGAGAGGACAACACGGGAAUCUGCCUUGGGGACGAGGAUAGCGUCGGGAAACUGACAGUAAUACUCGAUAAUGUUUGCGGACCAAAGGUGUGACCCCGCCCCAAGAUGAGCCCGUGCCCCAUUAGCUAGUUGGCAGGGUAAUGGCCUACCAAGGCUGUGAUGGGUAGCUGGUGUGAGAGCACGACCAGCCUCACUGGCACUGAGACACUGGCCAGACACCUACGGGUGGCUGCAGUCGAGAAUCUUCGGCAAUGGACGAAAGUCUGACCGAGCGACGCCGCGUGCGGGAUGAAGGCCUUCGGGUUGUAAACCGCUGUCGUAGGGAAUCAAGUGUAUGAGGGUACUCCCUUGUAUUUGAGAGAUCCUAGGAGGAAGGAGAGGCUAAGCUCGUGCCAGCAGCCGCGGUAAGACGAGCUCUCCAAACGUUAUUCGGUAUUACUGGGCUUAAAGAGUUCGUAGGCGGCUUUGUAGGUGAGAUGUGAAAGCCCUCGGCUUAACCGAGGAACUGCGUUUCAAACCACAGGGCUUGAGGGAGAUAGGGGUAAGCGGAACAGAUGGUGGAGCGGUGAAAUGCAUUGA